GCAUAGGGUCCCCGAGGAAUCCGGCUAGGUUUGCCUAGGCUGGGCGCUAGCGGAGCCAGUGGGGUCUUGGCGCCGCCGGUAGAGCCACCUUUGGGUUGGAAGAGCGAAUGCUCAGACUUGGACAGCGUCUUGGACAUCAGAGGAGUCUCGCGGCCCUUGGGCCCCAGUUUGCCCAAACCCUUGGGUGCUUUGGCCAUAUCAUCACUCCACUCAGGCUCAUACAGCUGCAGCUUUUUCUCGGAGUCCGUGAGAAACGAGAGGUUGGUGAGCGACUUCUGUUUGCGCAGGUUGGAGGUAGGCAGCCCGCCGGGGACACGACUGUCCACGCUGCCGGACUUGAAGACCUUCAGCUCCGCUGCACUGGCCUUGGCCAUACUGCCACUGCCUCCUGCCGCCUUGGCGCGCUUGGGCAGCAUGCCUCUGCCGUCCGCCGCGGCUGCCUUUCUGCUGGCUCCCCGAGACUCGUCCGCGCCCUCGUCGCCGCCGCUGCCGCUGCCGCCGCUCAGCUCCACCUCGGGCUGCACGCUCUUGACGCUGCUGCCCAGCAUUCUGCCUGCGAGGAGCGCAUGGACGAUCCGCGCGUCUGCAGGAGGAAGAUCUUUAAUGUGGUGGUCUGGAUGACCUUUCAAGGGCUCUGGCUGCUCUGGGGUGAGUGACCUGGAACUCACUGUCCCUUCCUUAGCUUCCUCUGGGCCUCCAGUCCCCUCAAGGCCACACCCAGUGUGAAGAAAAGACAUUCAUGGCUCCUGUGUCUGCUACCUUACUCUUCAGCUACUUGUCCCAAGCUCCUUUUCUGGUGUCGUGAGGCUAGAGCUCUACGCUGUCUUCUGAGACGGGACACAGGUCAGAGCAGAAGCAUCGCUGGGGUGCUCUGUGGAUCCUGCACGGCUGCACAGCUCCCAGCUGUAUCCCAAACUCCUCGAGGACAGAAGCUCUUUGCCGAUUGUGUUCAAAUUUCUAGACUCCUACCUGGCACAUAGAUACCUCAGAUGACCUCCCUCCUCUAGCCUCUUCCUCUGGACCCCUCACGGAGGCAGGCUCUGCCAAGUUGGCCCUCCCAACACUUCUCCCUCAGGCACCGACUUCGACAAGGUCAUAGCAUCUACGGCUGAGCGUAGGGCACCCGAAGAUGGGCUGCCUGGGUUCAAAUCCUGAAUGGACCAAGUUGGGCGAAAUCAUUUAAGUACUUUGUACUACAGUUUUCCAUCUGUAAGGUGGGGAUGAAAAGGAUAACACUUCGCUUGAUAAUAAAUAAUAUUGGGCAUACAUUGAAUAAUUACUAUGCACCAGGUUCUCUUCUAAGCACUUUACCUGCAUGGAAGUGCUUAAUUUCCAAUAACCUGUAGGGGAAGGUUUAUUUAUUUACUCACUCAUUCCUUUAAUACUGUUUUUUAGAAACACAGUCUCCUAUAGCCCAGGUUGGCCUUGAACUCACGCUUUCGGCAAGGAUGACCUUGAUCUCCCAAAUCUUCCUGCCUCUACCACCUAUGUACUAGGAUUACAGGUGUGAGCCACCAUGUCCAGCUGCAAAAGCUAUCUUUAUUGCACCCCAGAAACAACCAAAGUAAAGGAGGCACAGAGAGAUUUUCUUCUCCAAUGCUGUGCCACUGGCCAGUGGUGAGCUGAAAGGAAAGCCUGGGAGUUAGGCUCCAGCCCUCAUGCUGGAUUGGACUGACUAAAUGUGCUUUAACAACGCUUGUCUUACAGAAAGCCACAGUGUCAGCUGCUGCUACAAGUGUUAUUGCCCUCCACCCCAACUCCUAGAGGCCUCCUUGGCCCCAGAUGGCUGUAGUGUUUACAUAAGACGGGUCUUCUGAGCUCUGUCACACAGUGGCUUCCUCCUCUGCCCCACUAGAGGCACAGCACAUAGCAUCCACUCCAAACUCACUCUGUUCUCUGGUCAAUUGUGUGCAUGUCUCACUCCACGGAUGGCUGGGGCAUCAAGCUUAUCUUGGCCCAGAAGUCCCCAGAGGACAGGGAAUACAGCCGUGUGAACUCAGCAUGAAAUGACAUGGACCCAGAAUGACAGAGGUGCCAGCAACAUCCUGACCCAUUGGGAUGGAGGGAAAUGGUGGUAAGGACCCUGUACCUCCCUAUGCUUAUGAGCUGGAAGAGCAAACCUGGUUUGCAUGGGAGGCACAAGCGACAGACUGCUCAGUCUGGCUUCCUUGCUCAUCAAACACAGCGAAUUCACCAACAGGCAGGGGCCACACGUAUCUGAGCUUAAAGGCCCCCAUCUCCCACAGGCUGGUAUUAAAAUAUAGCCAACAACUAGGAAGUAGCUACGUGGGAUGUGCUCCAAGGCACCCUAUUUUCCUUCCACAAAAAGUGGCAACGAUGUGGACCCUGCUGCAGCAUGGUUUAUGCAUGCCCAGUGCAGCCUUUGUCAAUCGGUACACCAGCAGGACACUGGGUGAAAAACUGGGGACACAGAUACUCCAAAAGAGUUUGCAGAUUGAACCCCUAAACUGUAAACUCCUUGAAAGCAGGUUAAAGUCUCACUUGUUUUCUACAGCAUCAGCAAGUGUCUGACAAAGAAAAUGCUCACUGGACACUUGCUGACACAGAGAGUGACUCAGGACAUGUCCCACUUGAGUUCUGAAGUAAAAGAGCAAAACAAA
ensembl:antisense Gm4793 predicted gene 4793